CCUUUAUUCAGCACUGAACCUACAAAAGAUUUGGAGAAGAAGGAUUCAGAAGAUCAUAAAGCAUCACCUCCUUCUUUGCAUUCAGUUGGCUCCAAAGGACCCUAUAAUAAAAGCAAUCAAUUUGACCAGGAGCGAGUGUUAUCAUCCACACAAUCUUCAGUGCUUGAGAGGGGUGGUUCUGGGCUUCAUCAAAAAUCUGCUCUUCAGCAUCCACUUCCAGAUCGUUUGACAGGUCCAGGAAGACAAGGCCCUUUCUCCUCAAGAUCAGCAGCAGAUGAAGAUGAAAUUUGGAAACAGAGACGAAGACAGCAAGCAGAAAUAUCA
rnacentral:lncRNA from 1 species